CUGCAUUCUGCACGCUCCCGGGCUUCUCUGAAUCUUCGAUUUCUUGACGAGUAGGCCCCAAUGCUUGUGCUAGAUCGACGUCGUCGUGUGUUGCAGAUUUGUCGAACUGUACCUUCUUUUUUUUUUCUCACGGCUGAUCUGUGUCAAAUUUGACGUCAACAAUU
rnacentral:snoRNA from 1 species